rnacentral:rRNA from 1 species
AUCGAACGCUGGCGGCAUGCCUUACACAUGCAAGUCGAACGGCAGCACGGGUGCUUGCACCUGGUGGCGAGUGGCGAACGGGUGAGUAAUACAUCGGAACAUGUCCUGUAGUGGGGGAUAGCCCGGCGAAAGCCGGAUUAAUACCGCAUACGAUCUACGGAUGAAAGCGGGGGACCUUCGGGCCUCGCGCUAUAGGGUUGGCCGAUGGCUGAUUAGCUAGUUGGUGGGGUAAAGGCCUACCAAGGCGACGAUCAGUAGCUGGUCUGAGAGGACGACCAGCCACACUGGGACUGAGACACGGCCCAGACUCCUACGGGAGGCAGCAGUGGGGAAUUUUGGACAAUGGGCGAAAGCCUGAUCCAGCAAUGCCGCGUGUGUGAAGAAGGCCUUCGGGUUGUAAAGCACUUUUGUCCGGAAAGAAAUCCUUGGCUCUAAUACAGUCGGGGGAUGACGGACCGAAGAAUAAGCCCG